AGACUUACCUGGCAGGAGCAAUACCGUGAUCACAAACGUGGUUUUCCCAGGGCAAGGCUUAUCCAUUGCACUCCAGAUGUGCUGUGAUUGCCCCAGAUGUGGGAAACUUGACUGCAUAAUUUGUGGUAGUGAGGGACUGUGUUCACACUUUCCCCUG
rfam:Tupaia chinensis contig165504, whole genome shotgun sequence.